GCGCGGGUGGCGAAAUUGGUAGACGCGCUGGAUUUAGGUUCCAGUGGUUCACUCCGUGGGGGUUCGAGUCCCCCCUCGCGCA
rnacentral:tRNA from 1 species